GACGAACGCUGGCGGCGUGCCUAAUACAUGCAAGUCGAACGGUCUUUUCUAUGGAAGCUUGCUUCCACUGAGAAGAUAGUGGCGAACGGGUGAGUAACACGUGGGUAACCUGCCCAUAAGAGGGGGAUAACAUCCGGAAACGGGUGCUAAUACCGCAUAGGUAUCUUGAUCGCAUGAUCGAGAAAGGAAAGACGGCCUUUGUGCUGUCGCUUAUGGAUGGACCCGCGGCGUAUUAGUUAGUAGGUGAGGUAACGGCUCACCAAGACGUUGAUACGUGGCCGACCGGAGAGGGUGUUCGGCCGCGUUGGGACUGCGCAACGGCCCAAACUCCUACGGGAGGCAGCAGUAGGGAAUCGUCCGUGAUGGACGAAAGUCUGACGGAGCAACGCCGCGUGAGUGAAGAAGGUUGUCGGAUCGUAAAACUCUGUUGUCAGAGAAGAACAAGUCGGAGAGUAACUGCUCCGGCCUUGACGGUAUCUGACCAGAAAGCCACGGCUAACUACGUGCCAGCAGCCGCCGCCGUAA
rnacentral:rRNA from 1 species